AGUGAACGCUGGCGGUAGGCCUAACACAUGCAAGUCGAACGGCAGCACAGAGGAGCUUGCUCCUUGGGUGGCGAGUGGCGGACGGGUGAGGAAUACAUCGGAAUCUACUCUGUCGUGGGGGAUAACGUAGGGAAACUUACGCUAAUACCGCAUACGACCUACGGAUGAAAGCAGGGGAGCUUCGGACCUUGCGCGAUUGAAUGAGCCGAUGUCGGAUUAGCUAGUUGGCGGGGUAAAGGCCCACCAAGGCGACGAUCCGUAGCUGGUCUGAGAGGAUGAUCGGCCACACUGGAACUGAGACACGGUCCAGACUCCUACGGGAGGCAGCAGUGGGGAAUAUUGGACAAUGGGCGCAAGCCUGAUCCAGCCAUACCGCGUGGGUGAAGAAGGCCUUCGGGUUGUAAAGCCCUUUUGUUGGGAAAGAAAUCCAUCUGGUUAAUACCCGGGUGGGAUGACGGUACCCAAAGAAUAAGCACCGGCUAACUUCGUGCCAGCCGCCGCCGUAA
rnacentral:rRNA from 1 species